rnacentral:rRNA from 1 species
UACGUAGGGGGCGAGCGUUGUCCGGAGUUACUGGGCGUAAAGGGCAUGCAGGCGGUGGCGCGCGUUUUGUGUGACAGCGGAUGGCUUAACUAUCCGAGCAUACGAAAGACGGCGGCACUUGAGAGCGCGAGAGGGACACGGAAUUCCGGUGUAGCGGUGAAAUGCGUAGAUAUCGGAAGGAACACCUGUGGCGAAAGCGGCUCACUGGACCAUAACUGACGCUG